rnacentral:rRNA from 1 species
UACGUAUGGUGCAAGCGUUAUCCGGAUUUACUGGGUGUAAAGGGAGCGUAGGCGGCGCGUUAAGUCUGAUGUGAAAACCCGAGGCUCAACCACGGGAGUGCAUUGGAAACUGGCGGGCUGGAGUGCCGGAGAGGUAAGCGGAAUUCCUAGUGUAGCGGUGAAAUGCGUAGGUAUUAGGAGGAACACCAGUGGCGAAGGCGGCUUACUGGACGGCAACUGACGCUGAGGCUCGAAAGCGUGGGGAGCAAACAGG